AUUGAACGCUGGCGGCAUGCCUUACACAUGCAAGUCGAACGGCAGCGGGGACUUCGGUCCGCCGGCGAGUGGCGAACGGGUGAGUAAUGUAUCGGAACGUACCUUUCAGUGGGGGAUAACGUAGCGAAAGUUACGCUAAUACCGCAUAUUCUGUGAGCAGGAAAGCAGGGGAUCGCAAGACCUUGCGCUGAUUGAGCGGCCGAUAUCAGAUUAGCUAGUUGGUGAGGUAAAGGCUCACCAAGGCGACGAUCUGUAGCGGGUCUGAGAGGAUGAUCCGCCACACUGGAACUGAGACACGGUCCAGACUCCUACGGGAGGCAGCAGUGGGGAAUUUUGGACAAUGGGGGCGAACCCUGAUCCAGCCAUGCCGCGUGAGUGAAGAAGGCCUCGGUU
rnacentral:rRNA from 1 species